AGGUGACCUCCCUCCGCUACGUCGCUGCAAAGUAUCGGCUGAUGACGCCUGACCCUGACGUGGCUCUGCAGCUGACGCAUCUCCUGGACUUGCUGGAUAAUUUCCCGAAGUUUAGCGUUGGUGGCUUCUUCGUGGCGGCCAAAUCCAGGCUUGUUGAUAUUGCCAGCUUCAGCGCCACCUACCUCGUGAUAUUACUGCAGUUCAAAGGUGCAGAAAAUCGUUAAAAAGGCUGAUGAAGUAAAAGACGCAGAAUAUGUAACAGUUAUACAUGCACAUACACACUUGUGUGUGUAUGUGAAUGUAUGUACGUGUGAGUGAGUGAGUGAGUGAGUGAAUGUGUGCAACUGUGCGCGUGCGCGCUCGAGCGCCCGUUUGGGUGUGCGUGUUUGUGAGCACAUGUCUUAUAUAACGUAUAUACAUACACAUUUGUCCAUACAGUGGGAUAUAUUAAACUAAUAUUUAUAAUUAAAUGAUUAUGUGGAGAGGAAAACAGAAUAUUUCUGAAUCCUGACCAUUGGUUUCCUGAGAAGUGGAUUCCGCUUCUGAUUGAUAACACGAAAUGCUUUAUCCUUCGCAGAUAUUUAUUUCACUUAGCGCUGCCCUUUUACUCUCCGCUGCAAAAGGGGUUCAUGUCAAUCAUUAACUUGAUAUUCAAACACAACUUUACCCCCCACCCCCCCCACACACACGUGUAUGUGUUUAUAUAUAGACAGAGGCAGGUCUAUGGAUAAAGAUAUAUACGAAUGCACAGUAUACAUAAAGGCCUAUCUCUCCUCUCUAAAUCCAUCCAAACCGCAAUAGCAGUGUUGGCAGGCGCCAUGUAAUUAUUGUCAUAGUGAAUGUAUUAUGUAAAGUCUCCAAGUAGUGCAGAGAUAAAGUAGAUAUGACUGUUGCCAUGUAGGAGAAGGACAGGUGGCGUUUUUCUCAC